rnacentral:rRNA from 1 species
AACGAACGCUGGCGGCAUGCCUAACACAUGCAAGUCGAACGAGACCUUCGGGUCUAGUGGCGCACGGGUGCGUAACGCGUGGGAAUCUACCCUUGGGUUCGGAAUAACAGUUAGAAAUGACUGCUAAUACCGGAUGGUGUCUUCGGACCAAAGAUUUAUCGCCCAGGGAUGAGCCCGCGUAGGAUUAGCUUGUUGGUGAGGUAAAAGCUCACCAAGGCGACGAUCCUUAGCUGGUCUGAGAGGAUGAUCAGCCACACUGGGACUGAGACACGGCCCAGACUCCUACGGGAGGCAGCAGUGGGGAAUAUUGGACAAUGGGCGAAAGCCUGAUCCAGCAAUGCCGCGUGAGUGAUGAAGGCCUUAGGGUUGUAAAGCUCUUUUACCCGGGAUGAUAAUGACAGUACCGGGAGAAUAAGCUCCGGCUAACUCCGUGCCAGCCGCCGCAGUAACAC